UGGAUCAAAACUAGCUCCGAUUCAGGU
rnacentral:sRNA from 1 species